rnacentral:tRNA from 1 species
GCCUGGGUGGCGGAAUUGGUAGACGCAAGGGACUUAAAAUCCCUUGGGGCUAUGCCUCGUGCGAGUUCGAUCCUCGCCCCAGGCACCA